UACGUAGGGAACAAGCGUUGUCCGGAAUCAUUGGGCGUAAAGCGCGCGUAGGUGGCUUCGUAAGUCCGUUGUGAAAGUCAAAGGCUCAACCUUUGAAAGCCGAUGGAUACUGUGAAGCUAGAGUACGGAAGAGGCGAGUGGAAUUCCUGGUGUAGCGGUGGAAUGCGCAGAUAUCAGGAGGAACACCAAUAGCGAAGGCAGCUCGCUGGGACGUUACUGACACUGAGGCGCGAAAGCGUGGGGAGCGAACAGG
rnacentral:rRNA from 1 species